rnacentral:rRNA from 1 species
GACGAACGCUGGCGGCGUGCUUAACACAUGCAAGUCGAACGGUGAAGCGCCUUCCUUUUUGGUGGGUGUGGAUGAGUGGCGAACGGGUGAGUAACACGUGAGUAACCUGCCCCCUUCUUCUGGAUAACCGCAUGAAAGUGUGGCUAAUACGGGAUAUUCUGGGUCUGUCGCAUGAUGGGUCUGGGAAAGAUAUUGUUUCGGUGGUGGAUGGGCUCGCGGCCUAUCAGCUUGUUGGUGGGGUGAUGGCCUACCAAGGCGGUGACGGGUAGCCGGCCUGAGAGGGUGGACGGUCACACUGGGACUGAGACACGGCCCAGACUCCUACGGGAGGCAGCAGUGGGGAAUAUUGCACAAUGGGCGCAAGCCUGAUGCAGCGACGCCGCGUGAGGGAUGGAGGCCUUCGGGUUGUGAACCUCUUUCGCCAGUGAAGCAGGCCUGCCUCGUUUGUGGGUGGGUUGACGGUAGCUGGAUAAGAAGCGCCGGCUAACUACGUG